rnacentral:rRNA from 1 species
UCGAGGGGCAGCAUGUUGGUUGCUUGCAACCAAUGAUGGCGACCGGCGCACGGGUGAGUAACGCGUAUCCAACCUACCCUUGUCCAUCGGAUAACCCGUCGAAAGGCGGCCUAACACGAUAUGCGGUUCACAGCAGGCAUCUAACGUGAACGAAAUGUGAAGGAGAAAGAUGGGGGUGCGUCUGAUUAGCUUGUUGGCGGGGUAACGGCCCACCAAGGCUACGAUCAGUAGGGGUUCUGAGAGGAAGGUCCCCCACAUUGGAACUGAGACACGGUCCAAACUCCUACGGGAGGCAGCAGUGAGGAAUAUUGGUCAAUGGACGAGAGUCUGAACCAGUCAAGUAGCGUGCAGGAUGACGGCCCUAUGGGUUGUAAACUGCUUUUAUAGGGGGAUAAAGUGUGCCACGUGUGGCAUAUUGCAGGUACCCUAUGAAUAAGGACCGGCUAAUUCCGUGCCAGCAGCCGCGGUAGUACGGAAGGUCCAGGCGUUAUCCGGAUUUAUUGGGUUUAAAGGGAGCGUAGGCCGUUUGGUAAGCGUGUUGUGAAAUGUCGGG